GUUGUGAGGUUAAGCGACUAAGCGUACACGGUGGAUGCCCUGGCAGUCAGAGGCGAUGAAGGACGUGCUAAUCUGCGAUAAGCGUCGGUAAGGUGAUAUGAACCGUUAUAACCGGCGAUUUCCGAAUGGGGAAACCCAGUGUGAUUCGUCACACUAUCAUUAACUGAAUCCAUAGGUUAAUGAGGCGAACCGGGGGAACUGAAACAUCUAAGUACCCCGAGGAAAAGAAAUCAACCGAGAUUCCCCCAGUAGCGGCGAGCGAACGGGGAGCAGCCCAGAGCCUGAAUCAGUGUGUGUGUUAGUGGAAGCGUCUGGAAAGGCGUGCGAUACAGGGUGACAGCCCCGUACACAAAAAUGCACAUACUGUGAGCUCGAUGAGUAGGGCGGGACACGUGGUAUCCUGUCUGAAUAUGGGGGGACCAUCCUCCAAGGCUAAAUACUCCUGACUGACCGAUAGUGAACCAGUACCGUGAGGGAAAGGCGAAAAGAACCCCGGCGAGGGGAGUGAAAAAGAACCUGAAACCGUGUACGUACAAGCAGUGGGAGCACGCUUAGGCGUGUGACUGCGUACCUUUUGUAUAAUGGGUCAGCGACUUAUAUUCUGUAGCAAGGUUAACCGAAUAGGGGAGCCGAAGGGAAACCGAGUCUUAACUGGGCGUUAAGUUGCAGGGUAUAGACCCGAAACCCGGUGAUCUAGCCAUGGGCAGGUUGAAGGUUGGGUAACACUAACUGGAGGACCGAACCGACUAAUGUUGAAAAAUUAGCGGAUGACUUGUGGCUGGGGGUGAAAGGCCAAUCAAACCGGGAGAUAGCUGGUUCUCCCCGAAAGCUAUUUAGGUAGCGCCUCGUGAAUUCAUCUCCGGGGGUAGAGCACUGUUUCGGCAAGGGGGUCAUCCCGACUUACCAACCCGAUGCAAACUGCGAAUACCGGAGAAUGUUAUUACGGGAGACACACGGCGGGUGCUAACGUCCGUCGUGAAGAGGGAAACAACCCAGACCGCCAGCUAAGGUCCCAAAGUCAUGGUUAAGUGGGAAACGAUGUGGGAAGGCCCAGACAGCCAGGAUGUUGGCUUAGAAGCAGCCAUCAUUUAAAGAAAGCGUAAUAGCUCACUGGUCGAGUCGGCCUGCGCGGAAGAUGUAACGGGGCUAAACCAUGCACCGAAGCUGCGGCAGCGACGCUUAUGCGUUGUUGGGUAGGGGAGCGUUCUGUAAGCCUGUGAAGGUGUGCUGUGAGGUAUGCUGGAGGUAUCAGAAGUGCGAAUGCUGACAUAAGUAACGAUAAAGCGGGUGAAAAGCCCGCUCGCCGGAAGACCAAGGGUUCCUGUCCAACGUUAAUCGGGGCAGGGUGAGUCGACCCCUAAGGCGAGGCCGAAAGGCGUAGUCGAUGGGAAACAGGUUAAUAUUCCUGUACUUGGUGUUACUGCGAAGGGGGGACGGAGAAGGCUAUGUUGGCCGGGCGACGGUUGUCCCGGUUUAAGCGUGUAGGCUGGUUUUCCAGGCAAAUCCGGAAAAUCAAGGCCGAGGCGUGAUGACGAGGCACUACGGUGCUGAAGCAACAAAUGCCCUGCUUCCAGGAAAAGCCUCUAAGCAUCAGGUAACAUCAAAUCGUACCCCAAACCGACACAGGUGGUCAGGUAGAGAAUACCAAGGCGCUUGAGAGAACUCGGGUGAAGGAACUAGGCAAAAUGGUGCCGUAACUUCGGGAGAAGGCACGCUGAUACGUAGGUGAAGCGACUUGCUCGUGGAGCUGAAAUCAGUCGAAGAUACCAGCUGGCUGCAACUGUUUAUUAAAAACACAGCACUGUGCAAACACGAAAGUGGACGUAUACGGUGUGACGCCUGCCCGGUGCCGGAAGGUUAAUUGAUGGGGUUAGCGCAAGCGAAGCUCUUGAUCGAAGCCCCGGUAAACGGCGGCCGUAACUAUAACGGUCCUAAGGUAGCGAAAUUCCUUGUCGGGUAAGUUCCGACCUGCACGAAUGGCGUAAUGAUGGCCAGGCUGUCUCCACCCGAGACUCAGUGAAAUUGAACUCGCUGUGAAGAUGCAGUGUACCCGCGGCAAGACGGAAAGACCCCGUGAACCUUUACUAUAGCUUGACACUGAACAUUGAGCCUUGAUGUGUAGGAUAGGUGGGAGGCUUUGAAGUGUG
rnacentral:rRNA from 2 species